rnacentral:rRNA from 1 species
AUUGAACGCUGGCGGCAGGCCUAACACAUGCAAGUCGAGCGAGUGGCGGGCGUGUGGGUAAUGUCUGGGCAACUGCCUGGUGGAGGGGGAUAACUACUGGACACGGUCACUAAUACCGCAUACCAUCGGAUGUGCCCAUAUGGGAUUAGCUAGUGGUUGGGGUAAUGGCUCACCAAGGCCACGAUCCAUAGCUGGUCUGAGAGGGUGACCAGCAACACUGGAACUGAGACACGGUCCAGACUCCUACGGGAGGCAGCAGUGGGGAAUAUUGGACAAUGGGCGAAAGCCUGACCGAGCCACGCCGCGUGUGUGAAGAAGGUUUUCGGAUUGUAAAGCACUGUUAGUUGGGAGGCGGUAUCUACAGAAAAAGCAACGGCUAACUACGUGCCAGCAGCCGCGGUAAUAC